rnacentral:rRNA from 1 species
CACGUAGGGUGCGAGCGUUGUCCGGAAUUAUUGGGCGUAAAGAGCUCGUAGGCGGUGUGUCGCGUCGGCCGUGAAAACUUGGGGCUUAACUCUGAGCGUGCGGUCGAUACGGGCAUCACUUGAGUUCGGCAGGGGAGACUGGAAUUCCUGGUGUAGCGGUGAAAUGCGCAGAUAUCGGGAGGAACACCAAUGGCGAAGGCAGCUCGCUGGGACGGUACUGACGCUGAGGCGCGAAAGCGUGGGGAGCAAACAGGG